AGAGUUUGAUCCUGGCUCAGAACUAACGCUGGCGGCGUGCCUAACACAUGCAAGUCGAGCGGUCGCCAUUUUGUAGCAAUACAGAAGAAGCGAUAGCGGCAGACGGGUGAGUAACACGUAACCAAUCUACCCUACCGUCCGGGAUAACUGGCCGAAAGGCUGGCUAAUACCAGAUAUGACCACCGAGCGGCAUCGUUCGGUGCUGAAAGCAGCAAUGCGCGGUUGGAGGAGGUUACGGCCCAUUAGCCAGUUGGCGGGGUAACGGCCCACCAAAGCAACGAUGGGUAGCUGGUCUGAGAGGACGACCAGCCACACUGGGACUGAGACACGGCCCAGACUCCUACGGGAGGCAGCAGUGAGGAAUUUUCCGCAAUGGGCGCAAGCCUGACGGAGCGACGCCGCGUGCACGAGGAAGGUCUUCGGAUCGUAAAGUGCUGUCGAGGGGGACGAUUAUGACGGUACCCCUGGAGGAAGCCCCGGCUAACUACGUGCCAGCAGCC
rnacentral:rRNA from 1 species